rnacentral:rRNA from 1 species
UACGUAGGGGGCGAGCGUUGUCCGGAAUUAUUGGGCGUAAAGCGUGCGCAGGCGGUUAUGUAAGACAGGUGUGAAAUCCCAGGGCUUAACCUUGGAACUGCAUUUGUGACUGCAUCGCUGGAGUGCGGCAGAGGGGGAUGGAAUUCCGCGUGUAGCAGUGAAAUGCGUAGAUAUGCGGAGGAACACCGAUGGCGAAGGCAAUCCCCUGGGCCUGCACUGACGCUCAUGCACGAAAGCGUGGGGAGCAAACAGG